rnacentral:lncRNA from 1 species
AAAAAUCAUACCAACACGAAUACUAAUAAAGAUAUAUAGAGACAUUUGCACACCUUUUCUCACUCCUUCUUUUAGGGGCUAUUUGGUUAGAUGUAAUUAUAAAUGCAGUGUAGUUAGAGAUGUAUGUAGUUGGAAAUACAGUAGUUACAACUACAUGAAUUCUGUUUGGUUGGAUGUAGUAGAAAACAUUACAAGUAUAAAUAAUUGGUUUGGUUGCAUGCAGUUGAAAAAUAAUUUUUAAAAUUUUAUCAUUUUAUAUAUAUGAUGGUGAGAUUACCUCCAAUGUAAAAAAGAAAAAUAAUUUUUAUUUAAACAAUAUUGAGAAGGUAAGCAUACCUUUUAUUUAAAGUUACUAUUUUCAAUUGUUGCAGUUGGAACUGCAGCCAAUUUGGGUGUAGUUUGAACUGCUGCAGUUGGGCCUCCUCUUGCAGUUCCUACUGCAGCAGUUGGAGUUAAAUACAUCAAACCAAACACUGAAUUUAUAUUU